rnacentral:rRNA from 1 species
GCCGGGGAUUAGUGGCGAACGGGUGAGUAACACGUGGGCAAUCUGCCCUGCACUCUGGGAUAAGCCCGGGAAACUGGGUCUAAUACCGGAUACGACACUCCGAGGCAUCUUGGGGUGUGGAAAGUUCCGGCGGUGCAGGAUGAGCCCGCGGCCUAUCAGCUUGUUGGUGGGGUAAUGGCCUACCAAGGCGACGACGGGUAGCCGGCCUGAGAGGGUGACCGGCCACACUGGGACUGAGACACGGCCCAGACUCCUACGGGAGGCAGCAGUGGGGAAUAUUGCACAAUGGGCGAAAGCCUGAUGCAGCGACGCCGCGUGAGGGAUGACGGCCUUCGGGUUGUAAACCUCUUUCAGCAGGGAAGAAGCGAAAGUGACGGUACCUGCAGAAGAAGCACCGGCUAACUACGUGCCAGCAGCCGCGGUAAUACGUAGGGUGCGAGCGUUGUCCGGAAUUAUUGGGCGUAAAGAGCUCGUAGGCGGUUUGUCGCGUCGAUUGUGAAAGCCCGGGGCUUAACCCUGGGUCUGCAGUCGAUACGGGCAGGCUAGAGUU